rnacentral:rRNA from 1 species
AUACGGAGGGUGCAAGCGUUAUUCGGAAUCACUUGGCGUAAAGGACGCGUAGGCGGGUUGGCAAGUCAGAUGUGAAAUCCUACAGCUUAACUGUAGAACUGCAUUUGAAACUGCUAACCUAGAGUAUGGGAGGGGGAGAUGGAAUUAGUGGUGUAGGGGUAAAAUCCGUAGAUAUCACUAGGAAUACCGAAAGCGAAGGCGAUCUCCUGGAACAUAACUGACGCUAUGGCGUGAAAGCGUGGGGAGCAAACAGGAUUAGAAACCCCAGUAGUCC